CACGUAGGGCGCAAGCGUUGUCCGGAAUUAUUGGGCGUAAAGAGCUCGUAGGCGGUUUGUUGCGUCGGCCGUGAAAACCUGCAGCUUAACUGUGGGCCUGCGGUCGAUACGGGCAGACUUGAGUUCGGUAGGGGAGACUGGAAUUCCUGGUGUAGCGGUGAAAUGCGCAGAUAUCAGGAGGAACACCGGUGGCGAAGGCGGGUCUCUGGGCCGAUACUGACGCUGAGGAGCGAAAGCGUGGGGAGCGAACAGG
rnacentral:rRNA from 1 species